rnacentral:rRNA from 1 species
GACGAACGCUGGCGGCGUGCCUAAUACAUGCAAGUCGAACGCUGAAGAGAGGAGCUUGCUCUUCUUGGAUGAGUUGCGAACGGGUGAGUAACGCGUAGAUAACCUGCCUUGUAGCGGGGGAUAACUAUUGGAAACGAUAGCUAAUACCGCAUAACAAUGGAUGACACAUGUAAUUUAUUUGAAAGGGGCAAUUGCUCCACUACAAGAUGGACCUGCGUUGUAUUAGCUAGUAGGUGAGGUAAUGGCUCACCUAGGCGACGAUACAUAGCCGACCUGAGAGGGUGAUCGGCCAAACUGGGACUGAGACACGGCCCAGACUCCUACGGGAGGCAGCAGUAGGAAAUCUUCGGCAAUGGGGGCAACCCUGACCGAGCAACGCCGCGGGAGUGAAGAAGGUUUUCGGAUCGGAAAGCUCUGUUGUAAGUGAAGAACGGGUAUGAGAGUGGAAAGUUCACACUGUGACGGUAGCUUACCAGAAAGGGACGGCUAACUACGUG